CAAACGGGCUCAGCUGCUGUGCUUUCCCCUCCCUCGUGACUGUUCCAUUCUCCUCUCUCUCCUCCAAUAUAGACUCCGUCGGCAGAAAGGAUUUGAUUCUCUCACCAAAAAAUUGGAAAUAUCAGAAGACAUGUCUUUGAAUGAGCUACCAGAAGGGUGCAUAGCUAAUGCACUGUCGUUUACAACUCCUCAGGACGUUGGCCGGCUCUCGGCUGUCUCUCCCAUGUUCAUGUCGGCCUCCGUAUCCGAUGUUGUUUGGGAGAGGUUCCUUCCUAGGGAUCUUGAAUCUAUUCUAUCCACCUCCCAUGAUGGUUCUCGCCUGUUGGCAUCUGCGGCUUCCAGAAAGGAACUGUAUUUUAGCCUCUGUGAGAAUCCAGUGCUUGUUGAUAAUGGGAGAAAGAGCUUUUCAUUGGAAAAAAAGAGUGGGAAGAAAUGUUACAGGCUUUCUGCAAGGGACCUCUUGAUUACAUGGGGUGAUACUCCUGAGUAUUGGAAGUGGAAUUCUGACCCCACAUCUAGAUUUCCAGAAGUAGCUGAGCUUAUUUCGGUGUGCUGGCUUGAAAUUCGCGGCAAAAUCAAUACUAGCAUGCUAUCACCCGCAACGUUGUACACAGCAUACCUUGUGUUAAAGCUUUCCAUAGACACUUACUAUUAUGGAUUGGAUGACCAGCCAGUUGCGGUUGCAAUGAAACUGGAUGGAGAAGAAAGUUAUACACGGACUGUUAGCUGGAGUGCAGAAAGAAGGUGGGGGCAGGUAUCCCGUAAUGCAAGACGGCCGUUUUCUUUAUUUAGCUUUAGUCGCAGAAGAUCUGUAUCUACUGGAGAAAGUGAUGGACAUUAUCCACAGGAAAGAGGAGAUGGGUGGUUGGAGAUUGAAUUAGGUGAGUUCUUUACCAAGGAAGGGAAAGAUGGAGAGCUGGAAAUUAGAGUUUUUGAUGGCACUAGUCAUUGGAAACGUGGGCUGAUUGUUGAAGGGAUCGAGAUUAGACCAAAACAGGGUAACUAGAUGAGCAACUGUUUUCAUAUUCUAGAAAUCAUGUCUACCUUUUCACAUCUGUAGUGGGUAGAUUAAGGUUGGUAUCUUGAUUGCAUCACUAUCAAGAGCCUUUGCAGCUGGUCCAGUGCGUAGGAGGAUGCAGAUAGGAUUUCAGUGCAAGAGGAGCUAGUCCAAGCAGUUAAAGAUGCACAGGAAAGGUGCAAGAGGAGCUAGUCCAAGCAGUUAAAGAUAUCUGGACUUCUUCAUCUGAAGUGGCAUGUUUGACUAGAUGCCGGCAAAGUUUCCAACCAUACUGUUGAUGCUGAAACUAGAACCACAAAGGGAGCAAAAUUAUAUUGUUGAAACAAUGGUAUCUGUUGUCUGUAUUCAAAACUAUCCAGUGUGUAUGUAGUUUAAAUCCAAAGGUACUAAAUCAAAUGGGGCAUUGCUUUGCUGGGAUCUUUGUAGUCGAGCUGAGGUUUCAAACACAAUUUUUUUUCACAGAAUUCAAAUAAAAAGAAGUUACUAUAAACUUAUACUA